rnacentral:rRNA from 1 species
CCUGAGAAACCCAAAAGAUCCAAUGGGGAGAUUCAUCGUCAGCUCAUUUUAUAUAUAUACAAGUUGUGAUGUGAGUUACUCUUGAGUAUUGCUUGCACAUAUUUGUAUGUUUGUUUGUAAAAUAUUGUCGGCGUGCACUUCUCCCCUAGUAGAACGUCGCAACCCGUUAGAUGUCAGUUUAUGACCUAAGUUGUAGCCUUUAGUAUUUUUAUAAUACUGAAGACCCUUUGUGUUAUCUGACCGACUGUCUGACGGUACUCUAAUGGUAUUAAGCCGCAUUUAUUUGCGUUCAUAUCCGUCACAAGCGAGGCUAAUUUCUGGUAGUAUGGACCUAGUGCCGUCACUGGAGUUUGCCAGCUGUUGGUUGUACGUAUUCUAGGACUGGCUAAAAAUAAUUACCGGUUGGCGAUGCUAUUGCUUUGGGUACUUUCAGGACCCGUCUUGAAACACGGACCAAGGAGUCUAACAUGUACGCAAGUCAUUGGGAUUUUUUUUUUUUAUUUAAACCUAAAGGCUUAAUAAAAGUAAAGGUCGUUCCUUGUGUCGACUGAAGGAGGAUGGGGUGUGUUAUGAUACAGCUUCGCACUCCUGGGGCGUUUCAUUCUCAUUAUGAGAAGAGGCGCACCUAG